rnacentral:tmRNA from 1 species
GGGGGCGUAACGGUUUCGACGGUGAUAUUAAGGCUAUGAGCUGCAUGUCGAGGACGCUUUGUGGGCUCGUUAAUCAUUCGAAGCAUAAACAUAAUCGCAGACAAUUACGAUUACGCAUUAGCCGCUUAAUCGGCUAACGUCUUUGAAAUUUCCACCUGCAAAAUUCAAAGACGACAACUGCAGGUUAUAGUGUAAAAGUUUCCUUUACUUUUACACCGAACUCUUUAAAGGAUGGCUGAAAAGAGGUUUUGUUUAUUCUUUGCUUUUUGAAGCCAUAUUUAAAGAAUAAACUAAACAUGUAGAUGCUUUAGUGUUAAAUCUUCGGACGCGGGUUCGACUCCCGCCGCCUCCACCA